AAGGUUAGAGGAAGUUAAUAUACAUUGAGGAAUGUAAUGGUCAAGGAAAAUAGAAGUCAAGGACAGAAAUGGUAAUGUCAAGUAGAGGUCAAGGAAAGGAAAGUUUAUUUAGAGUAGAGGUCAAGGAAAGAAAAGGUCAUGAAGAGUAGAGGUCAG